rnacentral:rRNA from 1 species
CAAUAGCGUAUAUUAAAGUUGUUGCAGUUAAAAAGCUCGUAGUUGGAUUUGUGGCGUACGGUGUGUUCCGGGCACUUGUUGUCUGAGUAACCUGCUGUUGCCAUCCUUGGGUGGAACCUGUGUGGCAUUAGGUUGUCGUGCAGGGGAUGCCCAUCAUUUACUGUGAAAAAAUUAGAGUGUUCAAAGCAGGCUUAUGCCGUUGAAUAUAUUAGCAUGGAAUAAUGAGAUAGGACUUUUUUGCUAUUUUGUUGGUUUGCGCAAAGAGGUAAUGAUUAAUAGGGUCAGUUGGGGGUAUUCGUAUUCCAUUGUCAGAGGUGAAAUUCUUGGAUUUUUGGAAGACGAACUACUGCGAAAGCAUUUACCAAGGAUGUUUUCAUUAA